rnacentral:lncRNA from 1 species
GUCCCUCGGCAUAAAGGGAGGCCCAGGGGAUGGAGGCAGAGGGGACAGUCCCCAGGCCCUGGCCCUGAUUUUCAGGUGGCCACUGGUCAGAACUGUCAGCUGUGCCUGUCCCCCAGACUGCAAAUUGAAAACAGCAAAUGUAGCUCUAUUCUUUUUUAUUUUCCUCCCCCCUCCAUCUCUGCCCCUUUUCUCUUGUUUCUUUCUUUCUUUUCUUUUUUUUUGUCAAUGAGGAAUACAAGGCCACUGCCAAAAACAUAUCCCACACAAUCAAACAUCAGAUGGUGACUCCUUUCCCACAGCUUGUGUUCUAUUUUUCUCAGCCUAUUCCGGGAUCUGGACACAUGAGAGAACAAAACAUAUGACAUCAACUAAAACAUCACUCGAUUUUCACACCAGUUUUUAUACAAGUUGAUGUCUUUUGAUAACCCUUUAGGAUGAAAAGUGCUGACCUGUGUCCCGUCUUCGGACUUUAUGUCAAAAUGUAGUAGCUGGGUGCGUUGGCUCACCCUUGUAAUCCCAGCACUUUGGGAGGCCAAGAUGGUUGGAUCAUGAGGUCAGGAGUUCCAGACCAGCCUGGACAAGAUAGUGAAACCCCAUCUCUGCUAAAAAUACAAAAAUUAGCCGGGUGCAGUGGCGGGUGCCUGUAAUCCCAGCUACCCGGGAGGCUGAGGCAGGAGAAUUGCUUCAACCCAGGAGGCAGAGGUUGCAGUGAGCCGAGAUUGCGCCACUGCACUCCAGCCUGGGCAACAGAACAAGACUCCAACUCCCCCCCAAAAAAAAAAAAAAAAAAAAAAGUUAGUUAAAUGGAGCCAUUUCCCUCCCUGGCUGUUUUAUUAAUAUAAUCCCUGGGUAACAGAUAAUUGUUGGUAUAUCUCUGCCUUAGGUUGUUACCAUUCUUGUACAAGUUGGACUGAACCUAGCAAGGCUGCUAUCUCUGCGUCCCAAUUUAGUCAUUUGUUGCCACACAGUUUCUGUGUUUUCUUUCCUCUCCUGUUCCUUGCAAGUGGCACAGUGAGGCAUAAAAUUUUUCCUUUAGCCUAGAUAAUCUGGCGUAAUUUUCCUCAAUGCUUUCCCUUUCCACAAUGGGAGUCAGGUUUCCAUUUGAAACAGUUUACUUCUACAUAAUAAGCCUUCUCUCUCUCUCUAACUCUCUUAUUCUCUUUUUUUCAAUCCCAGAAAAUUUCAUUGCAGUUUAGAAUCUCAAUAAACAGGCUGCUGUUGCCAUAAACAAUCAGGGGAAAAAAAGUGGUGUUGGCAGAAAAUUUAGAUCAUAAUUUGUCUGACGGGACAAAACAGGCAUGCCCUCUGCUUUGUCUUUGUGUAUAUUUGGGGUUAUUAUCAGUGUUCUGGCUUCUAAAGCAUCUUUCUGUGUUAAAUACGGGGCUGGACCGUGGAAAAUCAAAAAACAAACUGGCAUUUGGAAGGGCAAUAACUUUCCUCGAAGAAAGGAGACAGCUACCGUUGGCCUAUUAUUUCAAACUUACUUCUGGUUCUCCACAUCUUCCAAGGUAACAAAUGAAGAUGGUCACCCACCUUCAGUCUCGCAGCAGCAAGAAAGCAACAGAAGCCUUCUCUCCAGGAAUUAGUAUAGGAAACCUGUUUGCUUUUAAAGUUCCGAGUCCUCCCAUAGAGAUGAAAGGGGAAUUAAAGUGAGUUACCCCUGAGGAAUCACCAAAGGAAAAACGGGUUGCUUUAUCUGGGCUCUUCAGAACUCUUUAAGACUUGAAGAUCUGGAUUGAAAUCCGUAUAAUACGUUCAUUCACUAAGUCAAGAUUAAUAGCGUUGGUGUUGUGUCCUCCGGGGAGGGCCUCCAGAAGGCAUUUGGAAAUAAAGGUUGUCUUACUUUGAAAUGCUUCCUCCACAGCACAGAAAAAUUGAUUUUUCCCCCAGUAAAUAUUCUUUUGGCAUCUGAUUUAAAGUCACUAAAUGCUUUCCUCGCUAAAGAUACCUUUCUCUGUCAUCUCUUUCCGUCUCAAAUAUUGCCGGCUCUCACUGCUUUCUCCCUUCCCUGGCAUAACUCUGGUUACAAAUAGCCACUAGUGAGUGAUAUUUUGCUCUCACUUCUUAGCCAUCCUAUAUUUCAAGGUUAUCCCAUUCUUUAACACUGCCCUUCAGGGUUUUGAUAACAAUCCUUGAAAUCGCUGUAUUUAGGACCAGAAAUCCUCUAAGCUUGCUUUUCUUCUUAAACAUGUUUUAAAAUAAAAGUGGAGGGAAAUCAUUCUGAAUUAAAAUAGAUUUCAUAUUAAGUUAGUAGCAAAAAUGUGGUUUUAUUUGCUUUCUGCUUUUUGCCCUGGAAAAUGGGAUACAGUAAAAAUAAAACAGAACCCAAAGCACGAUUAAAUGAAGCAGGUGGCUCUCUGCAGGUAGUAAAGCAAAGAAGCAACUUGCUUUGGAAAGUUACAUUCUGAAAUGUACAUGAC